AGGGGGUGACGCCGGCAUCGCAUACUUACCCAACACUCCUGUUCGGUGCGACGGUGGAAUCUCACAUACUUCAGGGUCAUUCACCCUUUGCGGCGGCACUGAUUGCACCUCGGACACAUCCGCAGCAGGUGUAUCAGCUAUGGAGAUGACUACUUUCUUCAGAUACCCAUGGCCAGGAUUGACGUUUAGAGUAGGCAGUACAGGUUGUGGAUGAAGAAUAGGAUUUUUAUCAGGGUUGACAGAAUUUUGCGAAAGUGCGUGAGCUUGGCAUUCACUCUCCCAGAUAAAUUGGAAGCAGCUAAAGUCCUAGCAGCUAAAGCUAAAUUAAUAUACAAUUAAUACUGCUGACAAUAUACCCAUACAAAACAGGUUAAAUUUUCUCCGGUUUUUAAGGAUGAAAUAAUGAAGUAAGUAAUUUUCUUCUCCGCGACGAUAUAAUUGAACCAUUAGUUUCUUCUUACAAUUCUCCACUCUGAAUGGUGCCAAAAAAUCUAAUUCAUCCGGAAAACCACGGUGGAGAAUGGUUAUUAAUUGCAGGAAGUUAAACGAAAAAACUGUGGCAGAUGUAAUAUUUCAGUAAGUAAUAUUUCAGUUAGAUCUCGCCUCAGGUUUUCACCAAAUUCCCAUGGACAUCACAUCCAAACCCAAAACGGCCUUCUCCAUUCCUCAUAGCCAUUACGAAUUUAAUCGUAUGCCAUUUAGCUUAAAAAAUGCUUCCGCAACCUUUUAGAGAGUUAUGGACGUAAUAUUAUCUGGACUUCAAGGUAUAGAACUUUUAGUUCAUAUAGAUGAUAUUAUCAUCUAUGCGGUUUCGCUUAAGGAGCAUACUUCGAAAUUAAGAAAUCUUUUGGCUCGGUUACUGUUUUUUCGUAAAUUCCUACGACUUGUUACGGAGGUAGGUAAUACUGAGGUUUGAAGUCGAAGUAAAUAAAAAAAAAUACAAGAGUUUUAAUCAUAAAAAAUAACGAUUUAAUUACUAGUGAAAAUGAAACUGUAUGAACUUUGAAACAAGAACGCGGGAUUAUAAUGUUUCCUGGUUGGAAGAGAUUAUAAUGUUUCUUUUCUGAGUUUUUUGGUAUAACUAACUAACAACUUUUCUGUUUGCGUACACGAAAAGUUUGUACUUCCGCCUCUUCGCCUGAUCAGUCAUUUUCCUAAACCAAUCGAAUUUAGGCAUCACUGACCUAUCCCUACUUCCUGCGUCUGAAACGCGAUUUGUAAGAAGUAGGAAGUAUCAGAGGUGAAAGACGUAACUGUAAAUGUUAAACAAUAUUUGAUGGAGUUUCCACUGGGUAUGAGUGCCGAUUACUUGACGGGAAUGACGGCCAUCACGGUCAAUUUGGAGAUCUUUCGGAAACUUCAAAAAAUCUAAAAUAUACAAACUGCCGUAUUAAGUAAUAAACUGACUCUCAAAAACGGUCUUGUUGAUUUGCGUGCAAUAAGCAUGCUGGCAAUUUGUAGUUUGGGUACUGUCCCUGGUACAAAUUGCUAGCCAUCUGGAAUUUGUAAAAAUGUAAAAUAAAAAUAAAUCCUAAUAUAUUAUAUUUCGUGGAGAUGUCACGAAACACCUCCCUUACAGGUUUGAAUCGUUCGAUCGGUCGUGUCUAUGUGUCUCCGUCUCUUCUGCUCCGACUCUUCCUCUUCUCCUCCUCAUUGUCUUCUUGCGCAAUAACAAGCUGCCUGGAUCCUUUAAUAUAUUUUUUAACUCUUCGUCGUUUUUGUUGCGUUGAAUAUUUACAUUCUUCCUCGAGAAAUGAAUCAACAAGGUGGUUGGACAGCCAAGCAACUUCCGCCUAGAAAACCGGCGAUGCCUAGGAAUGCCAGACGAAUGUCUGCCUUUAAUUACCGCAAAUACCUGGAAGCACUGAUGCCCGCGAAUUGGGCAGAUGACCGCCAGCCAGUACCACCUGCAGGACCCUCCAAACCGCGGGUGAUGAAUGACAAACAGAAACAGUGGGUCACUUAGAUGGAAGAUCACGCCUCGCCAAGGAACCGACUCUACUCCACCGGCACAA